rnacentral:rRNA from 1 species
UUGAACGCUGGCGGCAUGCCUUACACAUGCAAGUCGAACGGCAGCACGGGUGCUUGCCCCUGGUGGCGAGUGGCGAACGGGUGAGUAAUACAUCGGAACAUGUCCUGUAGUGGGGGAUAGCCCGGCGAAAGCCGGAUUAAUACCGCAUACGAUCCACGGAUGAAAGCGGGGGACCUUCGGGCCUCGCGCUAUAGGGUUGGCCGAUGGCUGAUUAGCUAGUUGGUGGGGUAAAGGCCUACCAAGGCGACGAUCAGUAGCUGGUCUGAGAGGACGACCAGCCACACUGGGACUGAGACACGGCCCAGACUCCUACGGGAGGCAGCAGUGGGGAAUUUUGGACAAUGGGCGAAAGCCUGAUCCAGCAAUGCCGCGUGUGUGAAGAAGGCCUUCGGGUUGUAAAGCACUUUUGUCCGGAAAGAAAUCCUUGACUCUAAUACAGUCGGGGGAUGACGGUACCGGAAGAAUAAGCACCGGCUAACUACGUG